AGUGAACGCUGGCGGUAGGCCUAACACAUGCAAGUCGAACGGCAGCACAGUAAGAGCUUGCUCUUACGGGUGGCGAGUGGCGGACGGGUGAGGAAUACAUCGGAAUCUACUUUUUCGUGGGGGAUAACGUAGGGAAACUUACGCUAAUACCGCAUACGACCUACGGGUGAAAGCAGGGGAUCUUCGGACCUUGCGCGAUUGAAUGAGCCGAUGUCGGAUUAGCUAGUUGGCGGGGUAAGGGCCCACCAAGGCGACGAUCCGUAGCUGGUCUGAGAGGAUGAUCACCCACACUGGAACUGAGACACGGUCCAGACUCCUACGGGAGGCAGCAGUGGGGAAUAUUGGACAAUGGGCGCAAGCCUGAUCCAGCCAUACCGCGUGGGUGAAGAAGGCCUUCGGGUUGUAAAGCCCUUUUGUUGGGAAAGAAAAGCAGCAGGUUAAUACCCCGCUGUUCUGACGGUACCCAAAGAAUAAGCACCGGCUAACUUCGUG
rnacentral:rRNA from 1 species